GGGUCCGUAAAGGUUUCGACGGGGAUUUUGAGGUAUGAUAAGCGGGUAGAGCCGGGCACACUCUGAAACGGCCCAAAUUAAAAUUAAACGCUAACAAUAGAACUGUAGCAAUGGCUGCCUAAUUGGCAGUGCCGUGGCAUAAGCCACCCGUUCCCCCGAGGAGUAUCGCGGCCUCGGGCUGAGCGUCAAGACAGCGGUGAACGUGCAUCGGCCUCUCGCCAUCGAGCCGAUCACGCAAAAGAUGGCUACCCGAGCGAGCAGUCUGUUCGUUGACGGCUUGUAAGGGGAAUUCCAAAAAACGAACUGCACCCGGAGAAGGUCAUAUCAAGAGGUUUUCGGACAGGGGUUCGACUCCCCUCGGAUCCACCA
rnacentral:tmRNA from 1 species